rnacentral:rRNA from 1 species
ACUCCUACGGGAGGCAGCAGUAAGGAAUAUUGGACAAUGCCCGCAAGGGUGAUCCAGCCAUGCCGCGUGCAGGAAGACGGCCCUAUGGGUUGUAAACUGCUUUUAUACCGGAGAAAACCUUCCCUUGCGAGGGGAGCUGAUAGUAUGGUAAGAAUAAGCAUCGGCUAACUUCGUGCCAGCAGCCGCGGUAAGACGAAGGAUGCAAGCGUUAUCCGGAUUCAUUGGGUUUAAAGGGAGCGUAGGUGGCCUGCUAAGUCAGCGGUGAAAUCUCUGGGCUUAACCCAGAAAUUGCCAUUGAUACUGGUGGGCUUGAGUGCAGUUGCUGUUGGCGGAAUAUGACAUGUAGUGGUGAAAUACAUAGAGAUGUCAUAGAACACCGAUUGCGAAGGCAGCUAACAAAACUGUAACUGACACUGAGGCUCGAAAGUGUGGGGAUCAAACAGGAUUAGAUACCCUGGUAGUCCACACUGUAAACGAUGAUUACUCGCUGCUGGGAGGUAACUUUCAGUGGCUUAGCGAAAGCGAUAAGUAAUCCACCUGGGGAGUACGCCGGCAACGGUGAAACUUAAAGGAAUGACGG